rnacentral:rRNA from 1 species
UACGUAGGGGGCAAGCGUUGUCCGGAUUUAUUGGGCGUAAAGAGCGUGUAGGCGGUUAGGUAGGUCCGUUGUGAAAACUCGAGGCUCAACCUCGAGACGCCGAUGGAAACCAUCUGACUAGAGUCCGGAAGAGGAGAGUGGAAUUCCUGGUGUAGCGGUGAAAUGCGCAGAUAUCAGGAAGAACACCCGUGGCUAAGGCGGCUCUCUAGUACGGUACUGACGCUGAGACGCGAAAAGCGUGGGGAGCGAACAGG